rnacentral:rRNA from 1 species
UACGUAGGGUGCAAGCGUUGUCCGGAAUUAUUGGGCGUAAAGAGCUCGUAGGCGGUCUGUCGCGUCUGGUGGUGAAAAUCCAAGGGCUUAACCCUGGACCUGGCAUCGGGUACGGGCAGACUAGAGUGCGGUAGGGGAGGAUCGGAAUUCCUGGUGUAGCGGUGAAAUGCGCAGAUAUCAGGAGGAACACCGGUGGCGAAGGCGGAUCUCUGGGCCGUAACUGACGCUGAGGAGCGAAAGCAUGGGGAGCGAACAGG